GACGAACGCUGGCGGCGUGCUUAACACAUGCAAGUCGAACGGGAAGGCCCUGCUUUUGUGGGGUGCUCGAGUGGCGAACGGGUGAGUAACACGUGAGUAACCUGCCCUUGACUUUGGGAUAACUUCAGGAAACUGGGGCUAAUACCGGAUAGGAGCUCCUGCUGCAUGGUGGGGGUUGGAAAGUUUCGGCGGUUGGGGAUGGACUCGCGGCUUAUCAGCUUGUUGGUGGGGUAGUGGCUUACCAAGGCUUUGACGGGUAGCCGGCCUGAGAGGGUGACCGGCCACAUUGGGACUGAGAUACGGACCAGACUCCUACGGGAGGCAGCAGUGGGGAAUAUUGCACAAUGGGCGGAAGCCUGAUGCAGCAACGCCGCGUGCGGGAUGACGGCCUUCGGGUUGUAAACCGCUUUCGCCUGUGACGAAGCGUGAGUGACGGUAAUGGGUAAAGAAGCACCGGCUAACUACGUG
rnacentral:rRNA from 1 species